rnacentral:rRNA from 1 species
UACGGAGGGGGCUAGCGUUGUUCGGAAUUACUGGGCGUAAAGCGCACGUAGGCGGCUUUGUAAGUUAGAGGUGAAGGCCCGGGGCUCAACUCCGGAAUUGCCUUUAAGACUGCAUCGCUAGAAUUGUGGAGAGGUAAGUGGAAUUCCGAGUGUAGAGGUGAAAUUCGUAGAUAUUCGGAAGAACACCAGUGGCGAAGGCGACUUACUGGACACAUAUUGACGCUGAGGUGCGGAAGCGUGGGGAGCAAACAGG